UACGAAGGGGGCUAGCGUUGCUCGGAAUCACUGGGCGUAAGCGCACGUAGGCGGAUUGCUAAGUCAGGGGUGAAAUCCUGGAGCUCAACUCCAGAACUGCCUUUGAUACUGGCGACCUUGAGUCCGGGAGAGGUGAGUGGAACUGCGAGUGUAGAGGUGAAAUUCGUAGAUAUUCGCAAGAACACCAGUGGCGAAGGCGGCUCACUGGCCCGGUACUGACGCUGAGGUGCGAAAGCGUGGGGAGCAAACAGG
rnacentral:rRNA from 1 species